UCACUGCAAGCUCCGCCUUCCGGGUUCACGCCAUUCUCCUGCCUCAGCCUCCCGAGUAGCUGGGACUACAGGCGCCCGCCACUGCGCCCGGCUAAUUUUUUGUAUUUUUAGUAGAGAGGGGGUUUCACCGUGGUCUCGAUCUCCUGACCUCGUGAUCCGCCCGCCUCAGCCUCCCAAAGUGCUGGGAUUACAGGCGUGAGCCACCGCGCCCGGCCAGUUCAAUGGAUUUUAAAAAUUAUUAUUCUCUAGAAAAAAGACCACGAACUUUGGAGUGGACAUCCUGAGACCUGCCUACGAAGACCAUUAGGGUAAAGAAGUCACCCCUUCACCCCAGGACCAGGAAGCCUCCAGGAUGGCAUAAGCGACCAAACAGCUGGGAGCCAAGCACAGUGCAGGGGGCUUGGGGUCGGCGGCCGGAGGCUGGGUGGCCUCCAGAAGACACUCCCCUGAUUCCUACACCGAGGGAACACACAGCAGCAAGCUAGGAAAGAAGGGGUGACCCAGCCCAACGCUGUAAACCAGGGCGCGAACCGGCGUUGAGCUGUGCAGCUGCGCCCUGGGCUCCAGUCCUGCUCUGCCGCAGACCCCACCGGAGCCAGCACCUGCCUCCCCGACCCUCGCUGGGGCGGCUGUGAGAUGAGCCCAGAGCCUUCCUGAGCCAACCCUCGCAAGGAAAGUCUGUCUGUUCACCCCACUAUCCUUGUCUUGAAGGAUGAAGAAAAGAGGGCCCCCCGGGAGGUCCCAAAAGGUGGAAUGGACAUCUGGGAUCCAAGCACAGCAAUUUCUUUAUUUUUCUUAAGGUAUCCAGCUUGUUGGAAUCUAAGAUCUGCGAAGCCUCUCACUAGAGGAUGAAAAUCGUUCUGCAUAAAGGCCUGGGCUUUAUGAAAAAUAUAUUCACACCUCCCGUGUCCGAGCUGGGAUACCAAAGAAGUUCCUGGUUGAGUACUACUUAUGAAUGAAGGAUUCAGGGGAUGCACAGGACACAGAGGAAUCUGGGGGAUAUUAUGGUUCUGGGAAUGUGGAAUGUAACGUCUCAUCUUCAGCCCAUCUGUGCUACUGAUCAUCUCAUUCCAGAAGCCAUGCCUUCUCUCAGGAGCAGACAGCACAAGACUUUCCUGCCAGAGGCACAGUCCCCAGUGGGAGUAGCAUCCACAUAAGACAGGAUGCAGAGAUGUCUUCAAGCAGCUUCAAACAAAACUUCAAGAAAGAAAGUGCAAGUGAAAAAGGAAAUUCAUCCUUCCAGUCACUUAACACAGCACUGUCACGGACACCUUGUGCCUCCUUAAAAUUCGUAUACUGAAGUUCUAAGCCCCAGUACCCCAGAAUGUGACCUUCUUUGGAAAUAGGGUCAUUGCAGAUAUGAUUAGUUAAGAGGAGAUCAUACUGGAGUGGGCUUUAAUCCAAUAUGACUGGUGUCCUUAUGUAAAGGGGAAAUUUGGACACAGACACACACAAGGAGAACACCAUGUGAACUGAAGUCAAAGAUUUGGGUGAUGCUUCUACAAGCCAAGAAAUGCCAAAGAUGACCAGCAAAGCACCGGCAGCUGGUGGAGGAGCCUGGACCAGAUUCUUCCUCACAGCCCUCAAAAGGAACCAAUCUUGCCAAAGCUUUGACUUAGACUUCUAGCCCCCUGUGAUGGUUAAUGUUAAGUGGCAGCUUGACUGGGUUAAGGGAUGCCCAGAUAGCUGGUAAGACAGUAUGUCUGUGUGCAUCUCUCAGAGUGUUUCUGGACAAGAUCAGCAUUUGAAUCCUUAGAGUAAAGAAGAUCUGCCCUCACCCACGUGCAUCACCCUAUCUCUGGAGAGCGCGAACAAACAGGAGGAAGGGCACAUAUGCUCCUUCUGUUCCAGCUGGCACAUCCAUCUUCUCCUGCCCCCUGACUUCAGAGCUCCUGGUUCUCGGGCCUCAGGAUUCCAGCACUUACAUGAGAGCGUGCUUCCCCCUCCCUACUCCACCCCUAGGUUCUCCGCCCUUUGGCCUCUGACUGAAUUCCACCACCAGCUUUUCAGGGUCUCCAGCUUGCAGACGGCAGAUCGUGGGACUUCUUGGCCUCCAUAAUUAUGUAAGCCAAUUCCCAUAAUAAAUCUCCUAUCUAUCUAUCUAUCUAUCCAUCUAUCAAUCAUCUAUCUAGUCUAUCUAUCUAUCUAUCUCUAUCCUAUUGAUUCUGUGUCUCUGAGGAACCCUAAUACACCUCCAGAACUGUGAGAUGAUACAUUUCUGUGGUUUAAGCCACUCAGAAGGUGGUACUUUGUUUCACCAGGCCUAGCAAACUAAUACAAGUGCAUGGAAGGUGACUACUCAUGACUGCAACUUAGAGAACAAGGGUUAUAAUAAAAAUAAAAGUGUUAUACAAAGGUGGCAAGAUAAAUGACAAUAAAUGAAAAUAUUAACAUGUGAAUUAAAAAGUAAAGAUAUUUUUCCUAGCAUUCUCCCAGAAAGUAGAGACGCGUCUCUCUUGUUUGCCAUCAUAUCCAGCAAUGGCAAGAUAAGUUCUAGGCACUUCAUAAAAAUUUGUUGAAUGAAAGAAAUGAAUCUUCUGUGGUUCUUUAUUAACCGGAUCUUCUAUGCAUGGCUCAAAUGCAAGCUCCGUAGAUUCUACUUAGAACUGAAAAGGACCCAAGAGAAAGUUUUGUCUGAUCUUUUCACUUCACUUAUGGGAACACUGAGGUUUACCGAGGCCAUGCCAGAUCCAGGAUCCCUGCUUGCUCAAGGCACACAUGGUAAUAUUACAGAAGGCUGAUUCAGAGGUCUUUUAACUUUUUAUUACACUGCUUUUCUAUAGUAAUCAAUUGAAUAUGGCCCUUGGGGCUUGACAGAAUUUUUAAAGGCUUUCUCAAGUCUCAAAGAAUGAUUAUAUUUAACAGCAGACAGACCUCAUUGUGGGCAAACAUUUAAUGCUCACUAAAUAGCCAUGCAUUUUCCCAGAUUUUCUGGCCCCCUCACAGUCAGGCCAGGGCAUGUGACUCAUUUUGUUCCAUAGACUGUAGACAUAAGCCUCACUUUUGAGCCAAGGCAAUGAGAAAGACCUUCAUGACACUGAACUUGCC
ensembl:lncRNA GRASLND glycosaminoglycan regulatory associated long non-coding RNA